GGUGCAGGUGAUGAGUCAGAGUGACCAAAGCCUGAGCCUCAGUGAUUACUCUGCAUUGGCUGAUGCACC
ensembl:snoRNA SNORD4B small nucleolar RNA, C/D box 4B